rnacentral:rRNA from 1 species
CUUGGUUGAUCCUGCCAAGGAAGCACACUCCGGUCAUAGAUUAAGCCAUGCAAGUCUCAGUUCAGGCAACGAAACUGCGUACAGCUCAUUAACACACUCAUAACCUACGAGACAGCGACUUAUUGUCAACAAGGAUAGCUGGAGUAAAUCUCGAGCUAAUACUUGAAAGAGUACCUUUGUAUUUUAAAGGACGAAGGUAAAGUUGACCAGUGAUGGCAAGUCAAGCGGAUGAGUGGCCUAUCAGCUAGUACUUAGGAUCUUUACCUAGGUAGGCUAUAACGGGUAACGGGCGGUUACCGUCGGACUGCCGGAGAAGGAGCCUGAGAGACAGCUACUAUUCCUACGGGGAGCAGCAGGCGCGAAACUUACCCACUCGAUAUAAUCGGAGGUGGUAAUGACCAGUUCCAAGAUGGGGCUUCGGUUCCGAUUGGAUAGGAAGGCUUAUUAAAGAAGUCAAGUAAUCUAGCAGAGGGCCAGUCUGGUGCCAGCAGCUGCGGUAAUUCCAGCUCUGCGAGUUUGCUCCCAUAUUGUUGCAGUUAAAACGCCCGUAGUCAGAAUUCGUAUUCAGACAAGAAGACAACUCGUCCACCGCGAAUAAAACAGGACGCUUAGGGUAUUGUUCCACAAGAAUGAUAGAGCGCGGUCUGGAGUAUUUACCUUUCGUUGGGUAAGAUCAAAGAGAGCGAGUGGUGCUGGUAGUAUUCCUGAGCGAGCGGUGGAAUGCAUUGACCUUAGGGAGACUAACGAAAGCGAAAGCAGCCAGCAAGUAGGUUUCUAUCGAUCAAGGGCGAGAGUAGGGGUAGCGAACCGGAUUAGAGACCCGGGUAGUCCCUACAGUAAACGAUGUCGACAAGGGAUUGGUGUUUCUAUUAACAUCAGUAUCUUGAGAGAAAUCAUAGUUCAUGGACUCUGGGGGAACUACGAUCGCAAGACAGAAACUUGAAGGAAUUGACGGAAGGGCACACAAGGGGUGGAGCCUGCGGCUUAAUCUGACUCAACACGGAGAAACUUACCAGGACAAGGUGGCAAUGGUGAGCGACAAUCUAAAGGAUUUUCGGGAUAAGUCUUUGGGUGGUGCAUGGCCGUUGGUGGUGCGUGGGUUGACCUGUCAAGCGUUGAUUCAGAUAACGAGCGAGAUUAUCACCAACUAAGUAAUAUCUGCUAAGCUUAUAGUGUGUAUUAGUAGUUGGGACCGCCUGAUAAAUAGCAGGAGGAAGGAGGUAGCAAUAACAGGUCCGUGAUGUCCUUCAGAUGCCCUGGGCUGCACGCGUGCUACAAUGGAGAUGACAAUGGGCUAGCAUACUCGAGAGAGGAAGCUACUCCCUAAUCAUUUGCGUUGUUGGGAUUGGGGUUUGUAAUCAACCACAUGAACUAGGAAUCCCUUGUAAGCGUGUGUCAACAUCGCACGUUGAAUACGUCCCUGCCCUUUGUACACACCGCCCGUCGCUCCUACCGAUUGGAUGACCUGGUGAAAAUAUCGGAACUCUUACAGGCUAAGGUAUUUAAAUCAUGUUAUCUAGAGGAAGGAGAAGUCGUAACAAGGUAACGGUAGGUGAACCUGCCGUUG